rnacentral:rRNA from 1 species
UACGUAGGGUGCAAGCGUUGUCCGGAAUUAUUGGGCGUAAAGAGCUCGUAGGCGGUUUGUCGCGUCGAAUGUGAAAACCCGGGGCUCAACCCCGGGCCUGCAUUCGAUACGGGCAGACUAGAGUUCGGUAGGGGGAGUCUGGAAUUCCUGGUGUAGCGGUGAAAUGCGCAGAUAUCGGGAGGAACACCCGUAGCGAAGGCGGCACUCUGGGCCGGAACUGACGCUGAGGAGCGAAAGCGUGGGGAGCAAACAGGG